CGACCGCCGCAGCGAUGCGGCCGAGGCCACACGGACAGCCGGGUCGAAUGCCGA
ncrna:unclassified sequences Streptococcus sRNA SpF59 (ldcC RNA)